rnacentral:lncRNA from 1 species
CCACGAGUUCGUGCUUCCGUUUUCAUGUCCAGGUUCCACUGGAUCUGAACGUUGUCGCCGCCUCCCCCGCAAGAGUGGCAGUGUUCGGGUGUCCUCUUUUCUCAAAAUGAGUUAAUUCCACCGGAUCUGGACGUUGCCGCUGACUCUCCCGCGAGAAUGACAGGGUUCGGAUGUCCUCUUUUCUCAAAUAAAAUGUUUUAACUUAA